ACGAACGCUGGCGGCGUGCUUAACCCAUGCAAGUCGAACGGAAAGGCCCUGCUUUUGUGGGGUGCUCGAGUGGCGAACGGGUGAGUAACGCGUGAGUAACCUGCCCUUGACUUUGGGAUAACUUCAGGAAACUGGGGCUAAUACCGGAUAGGAGCUCCUGCUGCAUGGUGGGGGUUGGAAAGUUUCGGCGGUUGGGGAUGGACUCGCGGCUUAUCAGCUUGUUGGUGGGGUAGUGGCUUACCAAGGCUUUGACGGGUAGCCGGCCUGAGAGGGUGACCGGCCACAUUGGGACUGAGAUACGGCCCAGACUCCUACGGGAGGCAGCAGUGGGGAAUAUUGCACAAUGGGCGGAAGCCUGAUGCAGCAACGCCGCGUGCGGGAUGACGGCCUUCGGGUUGUAAACCGCUUUCGCCUGUGACGAAGCGUGAGUGACGGUAAUGGGUAAAGAAGCACCGGCUAACUACGUG
rnacentral:rRNA from 1 species